ensembl:snoRNA
CUGCACACCAGUAGACCUUAUCUGGUUCUUCUAAUAGCCAGACGAGGGGGACGGUGCAUGCAAUAAAAACCUGGGGUUGCUGCAGGCUGUCAUCAGCCUUGAUGUGACUGAUUGAACUGCCAUACUCCAACACAG